AUCAAACUUAAGAGUUUGAUCCUGGCUCAGAAUGAACGCUGGCGGCAGGCCUAAUACAUGCAAGUCGAACGGACACUUCGGUGUUAGUGGCGGACGGGUGCGUAACACGUGGGAAUUUGCCCUUGAGUAAGGAACAACAGUUGGAAACGACUGCUAAUACCUUAUAAUAUCUCCGGAUCAAAGAUUUAUCGCUCAAGGAUAAGCCCGCGGCUGAUUAGCUUGUUGGUGAGGUAAUGGCUCACCAAGGCAACGAUCAGUAGCUGGUCUGAGAGGAUGACCAGCCACACUGGGACUGAGACACGGCCCAGACUCCUACGGGAGGCAGCAGUGGGGAAUUUUGGACAAUGGGGGCAACCCUGAUCCAGCAAU
rnacentral:rRNA from 1 species